rnacentral:rRNA from 1 species
AUUGAACGCUGGCGGCAGGCCUAACACAUGCAAGUCGAGCGAGCGGCGGACGGGUGAGUAAUGUCUGGGAACCUGCCUGAUGGAGGGGGCUAACUACUGGAAACGGUAGCUAUUACCGCAUACCAUCAGAUGUGCCCACAUGGGAUUAGCUAGUAGGUGGGGUAACGGCUCACCUAGGCGACGAUCCCUAGCUGGUCGGAGAGGUUGAACAGCCACACUGGAACGGAGACACGGUCCAGACUCCUACGGGAGGCAGCAGUGGGGAAUAUUGCACAAUGGGCGCAAGCCUGAUGCAGCCAUGCCGCGUGUGUGAAGAAGGCCUUCGGGUUGUAAAGCACUUUCAGCGGGGAGGCGUUACCCGCAGAAGAAGCACCGGCGAACUCCGUGCCAGCAGCCGCGGUAAUUC